AGUGCUCCCCGCGCUGUUGCGCGUCACACCCGGCUCUCAGACACUGGCUCCGGGACACUGGCUACGCAACCACCCCCCUCCCGGUGACUGCUGUCCCAGGAACCCACGUUGGGGCAGCCCACACACCACCCGGCGUCCAGGACCUCCUCACCGGAAGUUGAUUUCUACCUAGGCCCGCCCAGGCCUGCGCGCGGCGCUCCAGGCAUCCGCGGGCGCAUCACAUGACCCCCCAAGAGGAGGCCAGCUGAGCCUCAUCUGAAGAGAGACCUGACCUGUGAAGUGGAUUGACCUGAUAUACACUGGCCUGACCAUCCUCAAAAAACUACAUCAUGUCUUAUCUUUUGUCCUGAGCCAAAACAAACUAUUCAACAGAUAUUCCUCCUAACAGAGAUUCAGCUGGCUAAGCCACAAGAAGAACCUCCUAGUUGAGUGAUUCUCAGAACUCGAAUCUACCACGAGAAGAGCCUUUGCCUCUUACAAACAACCCAAAUGUUGGAACUGAAUAAAGCACCGAGCACUAUGACAUGCUCAAGAAAUGUUUGACGUGAUGUCUGGACCUAUUGGCUUAGCGGAACUCUCAAGUUCCUGAACGUGCCUAAGCUGAAAGCUUCUCUAAACCACUGGAUUUUAAAGAUCUUCAGCGCUAGGACUGUAGCACUUGUAAUCAACUCUAUCAUAGCAGUUCGUUCAUAUUCUACUAAAAACAGUUGAUUUUUAGCUGUUCGACAUCCUUACAGCAAAGCUGUCAGUCAACAUCUUUUCCUGAAGGGAA
rnacentral:lncRNA from 1 species